AAAAGACAAUGAGACUAUGUUAUCGUCCUAUUUAAUCUGGCUCGGGAAACAGAUAAUCAACAAUGGGUCCGCUGUCGUUCUGUGCAGUUGCUGUUAUGUUGGGCGUUGCCUUCUCCCAGACCGACAUUGCUACAACCGUCUUUCACCAAAUCGAUGCUGGCAAAAAUAACUUUUUGACACUGGCCAACUUUAAUGCUUACUACAAUCAGUUCGACAUUGAUUGCGAUGGUUCAAUCACCAAGCAGGACUACUAUAAACUAGACACCAACCACGCCCACGCUG